rnacentral:rRNA from 1 species
UACGUAGGGUGCAAGCGUUAAUCGGAAUUACUGGGCGUAAAGCGUGCGCAGGCGGUUGUGCAAGACAGAUGUGAAAUCCCCGGGCUUAACCUGGGAACUGCAUUUGUGACUGCACGGCUAGAGUGUGUCAGAGGGGGGUAGAAUUCCACGUGUAGCAGUGAAAUGCGUAGAUAUCUGGAGGAACACCGGUGGCGAAGGCGGCAUCCUGGACCGGUAUUGACGCUGAGGCGCGAAAGCCAGGGGAGCAAACGGG